UACGUAGGGUCCGAGCGUUAUCCGGAAUUAUUGGGCGUAAAGAGCUCGUAGGCGGUUUGUCGCGUCUGCUGUGAAAACCCGAGGCUCAACCUCGGGCCUGCAGUGGGUACGGGCAGACUAGAGUGCGGUAGGGGAGAUUGGAAUUCCUGGUGUAGCGGUGGAAUGCGCAGAUAUCAGGAGGAACACCGAUGGCGAAGGCAGAUCUCUGGGCCGUAACUGACGCUGAGGAGCGAAAGCGUGGGGAGCGAACAGG
rnacentral:rRNA from 1 species